UACGGAGGGGACUAGCGUUGUUCGGAAUUACUGGGCGUAAAGCGCACGUAGGCGGAUUUGUAAGUCAGGGGUGAAAUCCCGGGGCUCAACCUCGGAACUGCCUUUGAUACUGCAAAUCUCGAGUCCGGAAGAGGUGAGUGGAAUUCCUAGUGUAGAGGUGAAAUUCGUAGAUAUUAGGAAGAACACCAGUGGCGAAGGCGACUCUUUGGCCUGUAACUGACGCUGAGGCGCGAAAGCGUGGGGAGCAAACAGG
rnacentral:rRNA from 1 species